GAUGAACGCUGGCGGCGUGCCUAAUACAUGCAAGUCGAACGAAACUUCUUUAUCACCGAGUGCUUGCACUCACCGAUAAAGAGUUGAGUGGCGAACGGGUGAGUAACACGUGGGCAGCCUGCCCAAAAGAGGGGGAUAACACUUGGAAACAGGUGCUAAUACCGCAUAACCAUAGUUACCGCAUGGUAACUAUGUAAAAGGUGGCUAUACUACCGCUUUUGGAUGGGCCCGCGGCGCAUUAGCUAGUUGGUAGGGUAAAGGCUUACCAAGGCAAUGAUGCGUAGCCGAAUUGAGAGGUUGAUCGGCCACAUUGGGACUGAGACACGGCCCAAACUCCUACGGGAGGCAGCAGUAGGGAAUCUUCCACAAUGGGCGAAAGCCUGAUGGAGCAACGCCGCGUGGGUGAAGAAGGUCUUCGGAUCGUAAAACCCUGUUGUUAGAGAAGAAAGUGCGUGAGAGUAACUGUUCACGUUUCGACGGCAUCUAACCAGAAAGCCACGGCUAACUACGU
rnacentral:rRNA from 1 species